UACGAAGGGGGCUAGCGUUGCUCGGAAUUACUGGGCGUAAAGGGCGCGUAGGCGGACAGUUUAGUCAGAGGUGAAAGCCCAGGGCUCAACCUUGGAACUGCCUUUGAUACUGACUGUCUUGAGUUCGGGAGAGGUGAGUGGAAUGCCGAGUGUAGAGGUGAAAUUCGUAGAUAUUCGGCGGAACACCAGUGGCGAAGGCGACUCACUGGCCCGGUACUGACGCUGAGGUGCGAAAGCGUGGGGAGCAAACAGG
rnacentral:rRNA from 1 species